rnacentral:lncRNA from 1 species
AGGGACUCAAGUUUCAAAGACUAUAUUACUUUUUCCAUCAGCAUAAAUAAAAUUUAUAAUGGUAAUUUCUUUCACAAUUCUAAACUACUGGAAGCUUGGAAAGUUGCUCUAUAAGCAAAACCAUGGGUCAUUUAUUCAAUCAAGAAAUAUUUCUGACUAUGUCCCAAGAACCAUUCUGGACCAUAGGCUCAAAGCUGUGAAUAAGAGACACAGGAACCUCACUCAUCUACUGAGCAGAAGCAGGACAUAAGCCAGCAAGCAUAUCACUGAGGAUGAUGAUGUCAGACAGCAGAGGGUCAUAUGGGGGAUGUGGAUGAAGAGGGCCUGAGUGAGGAUGGUCAGCUGAAGAAGACCUUCUUAGAGGGGCGACACUGGAGCCAACACCUGAAGGACAAGAAAACGCAAGAAUGGAAAGAUCUUGUGGGGAAGAAGACCCCAGGCAGAGAACACCAGACAUGCAAAGCCAUUCUAAGGCAAUAAUCUCGGGAAAGGAGUCAUGGAAAGGGAGCAAAGCCAAACCCUGAACCAGCACAGGUAACUGUAGCCACCAGAGUUAACUGUGUGAAGAAUGUUUCCCCAGAGGACUUCUCACGUGUUGUGUAAAAGUAGAGAAAGAAGGCUAGGGUCUAAUUUACAACAUAAAAGAGCCUCAGGAAUAUAAGAGGCAUGGGAAGAAGUGAGACAGGUGUCCUUGAAAGAAAAUGCUCCAAAAUGUCUGAUCACCUUUACUCUCGUCUCCCCUUCCAUCUAACCCAGGUUCUCAAGCCCUGCACUUGACAAUCACCUGAGGAGCCAAAAAAGACCGACAGGUGCCUUUCACCAGUGAAGACUUUGAUUCCAUAGGCAGGUGGGGUCAAACAUGGGCAUUUUUAAUAUAUAUUUUUUAAUUUAAUUUAUUUUUUUUUUUUGAUACUGAGUCUCACUCCGCCGUCCAGGCUGGAGUGCAGUGGUGUGAUCUGGGCUCACUACAACCUCCGCCUUCUGAGUUCGGGUGAUUCUCCUGUCUCAGCCUCCAG